AAAGCUUUAAGUUCUCUCUCAACCUUCCCCUUAGCCGGCCAUGGCUCCGGUCAUCGGCCACCGCACCGGCCGCCGGAUGUCGGUGACGGCGCCGCCGUCCGCGGUGGCCGGAAAACCAAAAUACUCCCUUUUGUUCCUUUUUUCGAAUAGAGCCCAGAUCUGGGGUCAAAACUACCAGAAAAACCCGGCGACAAGGGAUAAAAUCGGAAGAGACCUUUCGGUUCUUCCUCCUCACAUCCGCCGAAAUCAGGUAAGACUCUCCCCUUUAUUUUAUUUUAUUAUCUUGUUAUAUUGAUUAAAUGAAAAUGAAAAGAGAAAGAAACAAUGUAGAAAAACUGAAAUAGAACGAAAAUAAGAAAAAAAGAAGUCGGAAAAAUCACUGUAAAUCACCUUCUAAAAACCUUUUUUUAUUUCUUCCAAUUUUUUUCAAAAAAAGCCCUUUACAUGUUUUUAGUUUCGGCUUUUAUAGCGGAUUGUUUUACAUUAUUUUAUUCCUAUUUUGUUGCUUUUCUCUGUUGUUGCGUGUCCUUGCAGGUACUUUGAUGGGAGUGGUUGGUGGUGGUUGCGGCGGUGGCAGGGAGUUGGUGGCUGAAAACCCUAGGUGCGGCGCACCUAAGGUUGCUGCUACUUGCUCUUUUUUCUUUUCUGAACAUGGGCUAGGGUUAGGUAGAUUGGGUUUGGGCUUGUUGGGCUAUUUUGAUUUGGGUUAAACUGUUAAUUGAUUUAGGUUAUGGUGUUUGGGUUUUUUUGGGCUGUUUGGGUUUAAUUUGUUUUAGGUUUGGGCCCGGGAAAAAUUUGGGUCUUACAAUGAGUAUGUGUUGUUGAGUUUUAGUAUAUAGUUUCGUAUUUAUCAUUUUUUAAAAUAUUAUAUAUAUAAUAUACUCGCAAAUAUUUCUUAA
rnacentral:lncRNA from 1 species